AGAGUUUGAUCCUGGCUCAGAACGAACGCUGGCAGCGCGCUUAAUACAUGCAAGUCGAGCGAGAAAGUGCCCGCAAGGGUGCGAGUAAAGCGGCGAACGGGUGAGUAACACGUGGGCAAUCUGCCCUCAAGCCUGGAAUAAGCCUUCGAAAGGGGGUCUAAUACCGGAUAACAUCUUCUGACGGCCUCGUUGGGAGAUCAAAGGCGGGGAAACCUGUCACUUGGGGAUGAGCCCGCGCUCCAUUAGCCUGUUGGCAGGGUAACGGCCUACCAAAGCUAUGAUGGAUAGCCGGCCUGAGAGGGUGAUCGGCCACACUGGGACUGAGAUACGGCCCAGACUCCUACGGGAGGCAGCAGUAGGGAAUAUUGCGCAAUGGACGAAAGUCUGACGCAGCAACGCCGCGUGGGUGACGAAGCUCCUUGGAGUGUAAAACCCUGUCAGCGGGGACGAACCGAUCGGAGAGUAACUGCUCCGGUCCUGACGGUACCCGCGGAGGAAGUUCCGGCCAACUCCGUGCCAGCAGCCGCGGUAAUACGGGGGGAACGAGCGUUGUUCGGAUUUACUGGGCGUAAAGGGCGUGCAGGCGGAUUCUCAAGUCGGAUGUGAAAACCGUAGGCUUAACCUACGGCCUGCAUCUGAUACUGUUAAUCUUGAGUACGGGAGAGGAAAGUGGAAUUCCAGGUGUAGCGGUGACAUGCGUAGAUAUCUGGAAGAACACCGGUGGCGAAGGCGGCUUUCUGGACCGAUACUGACGCUGAGGCGCGAAAGCCAGGGGAGCAAACAGGAUUAGAUACCCUGGUAGUCCUGGCCGUAAACGAUGGGCACUAGGUGUUGAGGGUAUCGACCCCCUCAGUGCCGCAGCUAACGCAUUAAGUGCCCCGCCUGGGGAGUACGAUCGCAAGGUUGAAACUCAAAAGAAUUGACGGGGGCCCGCACAAGCGGUGGAGUAUGUGGUUCAAUUCGAGGCAACGCGAAGAACCUUACCUGGGUUUGACAUGUACCGGACCGCGACUGAAAGGUCGCUUUCCCUUCGGGGACCGGUGCACAGGUGCUGCAUGGCUGUCGUCAGCUCGUGCCGUGAGGUGUUGGGUUAAGUCCCGCAACGAGCGCAACCUUUGUCCUUAGUUGCCAUCAGGUAAUGCUGGGAACUCUAAGGAGACCGCCGGUGAUAAGCUGGAGGAAGAUGGAGAUGACGUCAAGUCCUCAUGGCCC
rnacentral:rRNA from 1 species